CCAACAUGGCUGCCAUAACAAAUCGUUAACACAGAGCAACUAACCAAACUCUUUUGUAGUUUUCACUUUUGUAAAGUCUGUGUUACAGAGUGAAUGUUUUGGAGUUGAGCAACCAAUCACAGCUGAUGAGAAGAAUUGCUGCACGCCGGCUGUGUGACAAACCCCACAUGUCCUUACUCCAAACAUAAGAACCAGCUGCAGUUCACCUCACCCUCCGGAUGGACCACAAUAGAGGAGAAUCAUCCAGCACACAGAUAAGCAGGAAGGAUCAGAAUGGUCACCGACAUACAAUCUCGUCCAGCUCCAGCACUAGUGUGUUCGUCUCAUCCUCAUCCAUGAGGUUGGAGUUUCCAUCAGCAACGCG
rnacentral:lncRNA from 1 species